UCGCUCCGCCCUCUAAAGUCUGCUCCACUGGUAUCUCAUCACCUUAUGCUCACACCCACUAGAUAAUCAUCGCCGAGAAAACACAAGGCACAAAAAUACACAACCAGACAACAACAAAGCAAUGGUGAGCUAAUGCAACAGAAAACAACAUGGGAUAUUGAAAACUAAAACAUAACUCAAACUUUCAAGCCAAAUAAUCCAACAUACAAUAAACAUAUCAUAAUUAUAAACUUGUAUAAUCCAAAUAAAACAUUGAUGGAAGUCUUAGGUGGUCUUGCACUUGUGGUGGUAAUUCUGUUGGCUUAAUCCAGGUUACCAUACAAGGCUAAUCCUUUCCUACUCUAACUCCGACUGGAUCCACGAAUAAGAACCUUACACAAGGUUAGUCCGUUAACACCUAUGUCCAAAACCGACACAUAGGCUAGGAUCUCCUACCCCUCUCACCAUAUAAUUCAUCCUUCUCUACUUGAGUCUAGAGGGUUAUUAGAGUAUCAGGAUGACCUUUCAUUCAGAACCCUCAACAUCAAUAUGCACACUAAUACCAUACUACUACAAAAUCUCUCCACAAGACUUAUACCAUGUUCAAAUCCAUAAAUUCAUAUUAUUUUGGUAGGGUUGAAAUCCCUAACUCAAAGCAUUAAAUGUUGUCCGCUCCAUCACCCAGGUUACGCUAUUCUCUCUCUUCUCCUUGUCCUAGCCGUGGGGUAGGGUGCUUGUAGAAGAUAGUCCGACGCUCAAGUCAGUGACUUUGCGUAAUAAUCUUAUAAUAAAGAUUAGUAACUAGAGUUAAUUACUUGCCUUUUUUGUUAGACAUAUAUUUAUAAAUUAUCAUAACGAGCUUACCAUUAAGUCUGACUCAUUAAUCACUGAUAAAUGACAUCAUUCCUAUUAAUUGUCAAUCAAUGACUAUUAUUUUCAUUAACUGUCUAUUAAUUGUUGUUAGUGCUCAGAUUAAUUUUCAGACCGAUUGAUUGUUUUCUCACUAGAUGGUCAGUCGCACGGUUCUUUAUUAAUCGGGUGGUCCUAAAAUACACAUAUAAGCAUCAUUAAUCAUCAUAUCAUAAUCAUAAUACACAAUACGUAUUUAACUUCAUUACAUCACCAGAGCAUAAAAAUAAUUUAACAGUCUCAUACAAACCAUGCUACAUUUUCAUGUUCAUUUGAUACAUCAAAACAUCAUAUUCAUACACAUCAGAAACAUCAUGAACAUAACAAACUAUUCCCAUUAGAGAACCUCAAAAACCUCAUGUAACUGUUUAACACAUCAAAGACAGACUUGCUGUCUUGAGCUACUCGCCCGACGAGUAGCUUCACUCGCCUAGCGAGUGGACACUCAACGUUGGUCACUCUGGAAAAAUGCGACUAGAGGCGCUCAGUCCUGCAACAACAACCCAAAUUAAAUCCAGAUUCAUCAAAUCUACCUUUUAAUCUACUAUACCAUUUUUUUUAACAUUAUGAACCUUCCAAACAUCCAAAAUUCAUCAACUAUUAUAUAGAUGCUAAAAAUCAUCACAAGCGUCAAUGAUUUAUGUUUUAACUUCACAUCUCAUUUUCAGAGUCUAAAUCACGUACAACCAUCAUAAACAUCAGAUUUACCUCCCGAUCCAUCUCUUAAGUUCAUACAUAGAUUCUACCUAGAUCAUACCAACAACCUAGACUCAUCAAAAUCCUAUAAAUAUCCAAAAUCAGCACCAAAACCAACAUACUCAUGAACAACCGCGGAUAAACGGUACUAACAACAUCUGAUCAUAACACUCCUUCCAUAAUUAUCAUCAAUAUACUAAUCUAACAAAAAAUGGAACAUAAACCCAUUCUAUAAACAUUCACCGAUUCAAAAUACAUAACAAAAGCCUAAUCUCAUUCUAAAUCCAUAAACAAUCUCAGAAUCAUCAAAACAUAGGCAUAUCUUAAUUUCAAAACCUUUCAUCGAUUCAAAAUAUACAACAUAAUCAUAUUCUUACUCUAAAACCAUAAACAGAACCAAAAUCCCAAUCAUAUUCAAAAAUCAAGAUCAUACAGAAACAAAAGACUCAAGGUUAACUCCACUUACAGUUUUCUCCUAAGCUUACUCUUCGAAAACGCUUUGCAAACAUUCUCGUGAUUUAGAAUCCUCUCUUGCAAACUCAAUCUAGAACCUUCUCGGCUUCAAGAUCUCCACGCCUCAGGUCUCUGGUUCGACUUAGGAACCAUUUUUAGCCCCAGGACACUCGUUAAAUAGCCAAUAAUGCGUUCUGAAUACAAGGUCAAUUCGCUUAAGCGAACCCAUUAGCGCGCUUAAGCGAGUUGCUAGCAAAUAAACAAAUCUUCGACAACUUUUUCUGCUUUCAACACCUUCUCAAAAGGAAUCUUGACUUUCCAGGCUCGCUCAAGGGAAACUUCAAACUCGCUCGAGCGAAAAAAAAAGAUAUACAAAACUAUUUUCACGUUGUUGGACACUUUUCA
rnacentral:lncRNA from 1 species